GGGGAUGAACGGUCUCGACGGGGCAGGCUGUUCAGCGAUGGCAGGCCGUAGAGCGUCGACUACGUAAAAACAGGCGCAACCAUACAAAUGCCAAGAAUACUGGCAAGGCUUUCGCAUUCGGCGCCCCGGCUACUUCGGUAGCCAUGGCUGCUUAAUCGACAGCCGAAACACCUGAUCUUCUGCGGAAGGUCACGGCCCGCUCGGAUGGUGCGACCAGGUUGAGCGUUAGCCGUCAAACACUGGAACGCUGCGAUAGUGAACGCCGGUAACACUAUCUAAGAUCGCCGGCUGAUCUGGCAUCGAAUCCUGUUGCACGGAGUCCGCCAGAUGACAUAAAGUAGUGCGACUAAGCCUGUAGAGGUCUCUGGACGAAUGUUUCGGACGCGGGUUCAACUCCCGCCAUCUCCACCU
rnacentral:tmRNA from 1 species